rnacentral:tRNA from 1 species
UGCAUCGGCCGGGAAUCGAACCUGGGCCGCCAGCGUGGCAGGCGAGCCAUUCUACCACUAAGCCACCGAUGC